rnacentral:rRNA from 1 species
CCCUUAGAUGUUCUGGGCCGCACGCGCGCUACACUGACGAAUGCAACGAGCUUAUAACCUUGGCCGAAAGGUCUGGGUAAUCUCCAAAUUUCGUCGUGAUGGGGAUAGAUUAUUGCAAUUAUUAAUCUUCAACGAGGAAUGCCUAGUAAGCGCAAGUCAUCAGCUUGCAUUGAUUACGUCCCUGCCCUUUGUACACACCGCCCGUCGCUCCUACCGAUUGAAUGUUCCGAUGAAUACCAUGGACUGAGAGUAUGAAUGGGUUCGCCUAUUUCUGCUUCUCGGGAAGUGGAGUAAAUCUUAACAUUUAGAGGAAGGAGAAGUCGUAACA